AGAUUGCUUAAUUGUAAUCGAUGAACUCUCACAAGUCAAAUAUUCGAUUUAAGGAUUAAACGACACAGCCUCUUUAAAUAAUCUGAUGGACAUUAAAGAUAAGGUGACUUUAUUCCGUCAACAACCAUCUUAAUUUGAAAUUAUAAAAAAAAUCAUUGGAGUAAUAAAUAAGCCAAAUUUCUAUAUUUCAAGAUAUCAGUAUAUCGAUUGAAGUUUUUUUCGAUCUUUGUCGAUAUUGCUUGGUGACACAGAACGAGAAUUGGCAACGGAAGUAGAUUCUUUGGAACAGGUCCGCGACUAAUCAAGAGCAGAACGAUACUGGGUGAAAUUCGGAUUGGUGUGAUGCACACCAGCAAUGAAGCUUACAGCGUUAGGUAAUAUUUUAUGUGAACGCUUGGGACCAAAUGUGAAAGGAAAUCUUGAUUCAGGAUAGGCACUUGUAAGAUUCUGUAAAAAUGUCAAACUUCGACCGGCACUCGUAUCUUUUGGCCGAAAUGGAAGACACAGAGGAUUACCACCUGGCCGUAGAUUACGGGUCGGCGGAACAUAAGCGGGCCUCAACCAUGCCGUCACAGGGUUCACUGUUCACCAAUUUUGAGGAAGUUCAGCUUACAGACGAGGAGAGAGUGUACCUGAAUGCAGCCUCCAUGGGGGACGUGGGUAUUGUUCGCCAGUCUUUGGAGGAACCAGACGGGGCCCUGAACGUUAACUGUGUGGAUUACAUGGGGAGGAACGCUCUACACCUCGCAAUAGACAGCGAAAAAAUUGGGGUUAUUGAGAUUCUAAUCGACAACCUGAACUUUAACUGUAUAGAGGAGGCUCUGCUACAUGCAAUUAGUAAAGGCGCAACGAAAAUCGUUAAACUAAUUAUUGAACACCCAAACUUCAUGGCGGGUGAGGAUAGGUUCAAAAGUUUCGGAGUAACUGAGGCAUUUUUCAGGACAGAAGAGAAAAGUCAAUUUCCUCCCGACAUUACACCUUUGAUUUUAGCUGCUCAUUAUAAUAACCAUGAAAUUGUUCAAAUGUUUUUGUCCAGGAAUCACAAAAUUGAAAAACCACAUUGCAUAUCAUGUGCGUGCACAGACUGCGCAACAAAACAGAACUAUGAUGCUUUAAAGAGAUCGCGGUCUCGCUUGAAUGCAUAUCGGGCACUUGCUAGCCCAGCGUACAUGGCGCUAUCAAGCCCAGACCCUAUCAUGACUACCUUUGAACUUCGACAGGAAAUGAUGAAAUUAGCAGAAGUGGAAAAGGAAUUUAAGAGCGAAUACCUGGCACUGCUGGAACAGUGUAUGAACUUUGCCUGUGAAUUGAUUGAUCUCUGUCGAGGUACGCAGGAAGUUGAGGCGGUGGUGAGUGAGGGUACCGGCUGCGGGGAACCUCUAGCCCGACUUAAAAUGGCCAUCCGAUAUCAGGAAAAGAAGUUCGUGGCCCACCCUAACUGCCAGCAGCACAUGACGACUCUCUGGUACGGGUCAGAGAUGAGCUUCCUUCAGUCUCUCAGUCUGUGGAAACAACUUGCCUUCAUCCUUCUUUUUCUUCCAUGUAUUCCGUUUCUAUGUGUCGCAUACAUCGUUUUUCCAAACACGAAACCAGGGGAGGUAAUGCGCUGUCCUGUGACAAAGUUCAUCACACAUGCCACGUCACAUAUAUGUUUCCUCAUUUUAUUGGCUGCUGCAACAUUCCGACUGACGGAGAGCGGCGUCACCAUAACAACCACAUUUGAUAUACACAACCCAACAUUCGAAUCUCUAACCAAAGAUGAAAAAAUACAGAGUUUAUUAAAGGAAACUCUGAGGCCUGCAAAUACCUUGUUAACCCAUGUUCAACUGUGUAUUGUAUUUUGGAUUCUAGGAUUGUUGUGGAUAGAGUGUAAACAACUGUACAGCAUAGGUCUGAGGGCGUAUAUCACGGUCUACCAGAAGCUGAUCGACUUCAGCGUACUGUCCAUGUACCUAGCUUCCUAUGUUCUGCGCUUCUUCACAGAGUACAAGAUAUCUCAGGCCGACAGGUGUUUUAAUGGUACUCACGUGGCGCGAGAACUCCUCUGGCAGGAGAACUAUACCUAUUUCAACUGGAAACUUGACGAAAUAAAGAGCACACGGAAUGCGCGAUGAAUUAUUUCAUGGAGGCAUCGCGGUUUCAUUGGAAACCCAACGACCCAGAAAUCGUAUCGGAUGUUCUGUUUGCCAUUGCAAAUGUGAUAAGUUUUGCAAGAACCACCUACCUCAUGCCUGCAUUUGAGGUCCUCGGACCUCUGCAGAUUUCUCUGGGGCGAAUGAUUGGAGACAUAACGAGAUUUAUGGUUUUAUUUACCCUGGUUCUGUUUGCUUUUAUGGUGGUCUCCAUAAUCUAUACUGGUACUAUGGUGCGCAGCGAAUUAAAAUGGUUCUUAACGAGAAAACCAUAUAUGUCCACGCGCGGAGGCUUUCCAAGGUUUACGUCAGACGUUUUACAGUCUGUUCUGGUCAAUGUUCGGACAGGUCAGCAUCAGUGACAUUAUCGUCAGACAUCCAGGCCCCACGGGAGUGUAUGGGGGACCGACACCUGAGUCUGUUAACAUGGAGAGAAGCACAGAUAUAGUAGAGCAAGUCGGCAUGUACCUGUUCGCUCUUUAUCAUGUCGUCAUCAUCAUCGUGUUAAUCAACAUGUUAAUUGCCAUGAUGAGUCAUUCCUUUGAGGACAUUCAGACUGAUUGUGACGUAGAAUGGAAGUUUGCGAGGACGAAGCUGUGGCUGAACUAUAUGGACGAGGGCAGUACCCUCCCGGUACCUUUCAACAUGAUCCCUACCCCCAAGUCUUUGUGCUACGCCUGGAGGUUCUGUAAAGACCUGCUGGCCAUAUCGGACGUGUCAUGGCUGGAAUACCAAAAGAACAAAAAGCAGACCUUUAUUAAGAAAAGGAGAGAACGGGUGUGUAAGACUCUUGACCUGAAAGUAGAGGACACCUCCUAUAGUGACAUCAUGCAAAGGCUGGUCAAAAGAUACCUCUUCAAGAUGGAGCGUGCCAAAGAUGAAAAAGAGAUAGUUAAAGAUGGAGUGCCUAAUUUGAGGAACGAGGAUGUUGAAAUUGUAGAGACAAAUGACACUCCCCCUCCAGUACCGGACGCUCCUAGCAGAAUUCCGUAUGCCACGCCCAUUCACGAGGAGGAUGAGGAUGACACACAUCCUAUCAAUAAAAAUCUCAGGUCAGGAGUUGGAUCAAAACGGAAGUUAUGCGGUCGUUCAAACAUGCGCAGAGUGUCCAGCAGUGUUGCUCCUCCUCCCACAACGUUAGUGAUACCACAACUUGAUGCUAUUCAACGAUCACAGAAACUGUUAGACGUUCGCUUACAACACCUUCAAGCUAAUAGUAAGGAGAACAAUCGUAUCAUAGACGAUAUUGAGUUCUUAAGGCGUGUCAUGACAGAGAAUCAGAAGGCGCUGUUCAAUAUAAUACACGCCCUUGGAAAUAUGCAAGGUGAAAUAGUGGACCUUGUCAAGUGCUUAUCAUCAACGCCAGUACCAGAUAAAAAUCAUAGUCAUAUGAACUCUUCGAAUUCUGUAUCCAAGUCUUCAGGGAAAAAGCGUACUAGUCACCAGGAUGACGAAGAAAGUGAAGUGUGACUUCCAUAGAGACAGGGUGGGUUGGGGAUUUCACCAGCUAAAUAAAUUAAGGAGCUUUUUAAGUUUGAAUAUAAAGAAUAUUUAUGAAUUUGUGUUCAAAAUAUUCACCCUCAACAUUUGACUCUAUUUUUUAAUUUGAUUAUUCAAAAUUCUGAGGAAAGGUUAAUAUUGAUUCGGCUAAGAAUAUUAUAUUAAUGGUAAAAUUUAAAGCAGCAAAGUGAUAAAUAUAUAUAUAUAUCGAAUCUGUGAUCUGUUAAAAUAUGAAGUAUUGGUUGUUAGAUCCUUGUUAUUUUACAUAGAAUAUUGUAAAAAAUGUUGUUUCGAUAAAACAUGGCAGUAAAAA
rnacentral:misc_RNA from 1 species